CUCCAGUAUUGCAGGACCUACAUUGUCACA
rnacentral:piRNA from 1 species